AUUGAACGCUGGCGGCAUGCCUUACACAUGCAAGUCGAACGGCAGCACGGGUGCUUGCACCUGGUGGCGAGUGGCGAACGGGUGAGUAAUACAUCGGAACAUGUCCUGUAGUGGGGGAUAGCCCGGCGAAAGCCGGAUUAAUACCGCAUACGAUCUACGGAUGACAGCGGGGGACCUUCGGUCCUCGCGCUAUAGGGUUGGCCGAUGGCUGAUUAGCUAGUUGGUGGGGUAAAGGCCUACCAAGGCGACGAUCAGUAGCUGGUCUGAGAGGACGACCAGCCACACUGGGACUGAGACACGGCCCAGACUCCUACGGGAGGCAGCAGUGGGGAAUUUUGGACAAAGGGCGAAAGCCUGAUCCAGCAAUGCCGCGUGUGUGAAGAAGGCCUUCGGGUUGUAAAGCACUUUUGUCCGGAAAGAAAUCCUUGGCCCUAAUACGGUCGGGGGAUGACGGUACCGGAAGAAUAAGCACCGGCUAACUACGUG
rnacentral:rRNA from 1 species